rnacentral:lncRNA from 1 species
AAAUCCAAAUAAAAAUCUAAGGAAACGACAGGAUUUCCUAAUUUGAGCUCUCUUCCUCUUCUUUUCCAAAUGUCGUUGCUAAGAGCUAUCUUCAAUUUGUGGAUCCGUCCGCCUGUUCUCUGGGUCAUUAAUUUUUUCUGAGGUGAAACUGAUAUUUUUAGUUCGCAAAGGUUUGUGUUCAUUUUCUCUUUGAUUUCUCCAUUUGAGAAUUGUGCUCCUUACCUUCCUCAAAUGAUUAUAUAUAUAUAUGUUUUCCGGUGGAGAAAGUAGAACCCAUGGUGGAUUAGAUAGAGGUUCUUAGUGUCGUUAUUUGAGGAUGGAAUUUCUUAUAAGUGACUGGGCUUAUUUUUCUCCUCUUUCUGCUUCCUAAUCUUACUCCACGAUCUUAUUUGCAGCUAAAGUAGUAGAUGGGAUAAUUGCGAUGCCCCAGAUUUUCUUCUUUUGGUGCUCCUUUUCAGUGAUAGUGUAGAUCCUUCCCAUUUGACUCUGAAAGCCUCAAUUUUUGUUUCGACUCUUUUCAUAAGAUGACAUAAGCUUAAUCUAGGUAGCUUAGUAUUACUCACAGUUGUGAAGCCUUUGUGAUGGAAAAAACUUAUUCUAUACAUAUCAUGAUUGUGAGACCUUGAUGUGUGGUCCUUAGUUCUGUGCAUUCUGGAUUAUUUUAUUUUUCUGGAUCUGAUCCUCAAUGUUGACAUUUGUGCUUUAUCUAUGUUUAAGAUUUUGUUGCCUUCAACUGGUAGUUGCUGGAAAGUAUAUCCUUGUAAGAAAUUUCCAUACUCUAAUGUUGUGUUUGCCAAACUGCCAGGUAACCGAUUUGCUUCUAUAAAGAUAUGAUUGAUGAUUACUUGCAUAUCCAUUCUUAAUUAUUGCACUUCCUCAAACAUAUCUGUAAUUUGCCAGGGUAUCUUUCAUUCCCUCAUUAUCGUAUUUCUUAGACUAGUGAAUCAGUUUUCAAAAUAAUAUGAUGAAGGUUAAGAAGUUUGAACUGUCUUAAUGCCCAUGACAGUGGUCUCUACUUCCAUUUUAGUGAUGAUUCCUAGGGUGUUUGUCUUUACAUAGGUCAAAUUUUCAUGGUUGUCUCUAAUGCAAAAACGAUAGGAUCCAUUUCCAAGAUUUCCUCUACUAGCACCAUCAGUAUUGCACUUAACCUAUCCAGUGUUGAAGAAUGUCUUUUUUAAAGAAUUUUAGGCUUAUAGCUUUGAAAAACUCUCACCUUCUUACCAAAGCUUUGGCACUUCUAUCCAUGGAAAUUUGAUCUUGACAAGUUGGUAUAUAGUUAUCUGACUAUGAUGGAGAAGCUUAUGAUAACUAUACUCUUUAUUAUGCCUUCUUGAGUUUCUUUUUUUCCACAACUCCACACCAAGAUUGGUGGAACAGGCUUGAAUAUAAAUUUCAGCUUUGAUAGAGCUGAGGCGUUCCAUCACCUUGUAAUCAACUGUUGUAAAGAAGCAUCAACAAAUCCAAUUCCUGCACAUGAAGCAAAAUAUUUUUAUAGCUUUUGGGCUACGGGAGCUGUUAGAAAAAGGCGAGGCAUUGUUUUCUGCUCUUAGUUUUCACACUAAUAACAUAUGGAUGCUAAAUUGAUCCUCAUCCUUCUAAUAUUGACUUCAGUAUCAAUUCUUCUUUUCCCUAUCCGUUAAUGAAAGAAGUUAAUCUUAAGAGGCAAUUCUUAGAUCUAGAUAUUUAUUAACGGGUCCUGCUCGUCCCUCUUACUUCUCAUGAUUCUAUAUGCCGAUUUGAUUGAGAAAAGUCCACUAGUAUCAACCAUCCACCGAGGAUUAUCAUUGACAUCCCCACCAAAUUAAGACUUAUAUUCUUAAUGAUAUGCUUUUUCAUCUCCUUAAAAAUACUUUCUAGUAAUAUCUGUUUAUCCCACUCUCUAUUUUUUAUGAACCAAGUCAUCUCUAUCUCCCCUUCUUCUAUAAUAUUCUCCUCAAGAAAAUACAAAGCACCUUGUUUGGUCCAAUUGUCAAAAAAGAAAAUAGAAUUUCCAAACUUUAGUUGCCACCAAAUAUCAUGCUCAACCUCUUCUUUUACACUCAUCAUUUCCUCCAUACAUGAGAUGCACCAUCUCCUUAGUUAUCAUAGGGUGCGAUUUCUUGCAAUACUUGUGCAGUCCCUUCUAGUUAUUUUUUAUAUUUUCACUUAUCUUCACUGUUAGGGCUUCUCCAUAGCUGCUUCAAGUCAUUUAUGACUUAUUGGGAUUGGCCGUUCGAUUCUCGGACAGUUUAUUUAAUUUUUUGAAUCAAUUUCCUAUUUAGAAGUCUUUAUUGGUUUUAAACGGCUACCAGGCAAAAACUUUAGUAAGAAAAUCUUGGAUGCCAAUUUUGACUGCGACAACGGAUCUUGAAUAUCGAUUUUAGGCUAGGUAAAUCCUUGUUUUGGGUCCCAAUGCACCCGAGCUCAUUUCGACCAAUUGGUCAAAAAGUUGAAAAAUCAUAAAGUAUGGGUAUGGGUUCCACAAUUGUUCUACACGACCUUGGGUGGAAAAUUCAACUUCACCAAUGUGUCUGAAAUGUUGAAUUUAGUAGUGUUACAUAGUUUGUUUGAGAAAAUCGGAGUUCGAAUGAGUUCGAGGUGUUGGUGCUAGUGUAUGGCGAUCGCGAUGAGGCCUAUUGUGAUUGCAAAAUCGCGAAAGUGACCCCUAGAUGGAGAUUGCGACUUCUCUGUACUGGUAUGGGUAUAAAAGGGCACCUUAGUCUGUGUUUUGGUCAUUUUGACUCAUUUUUGGGACCUAGAAACCCUAAGAGGGUGUGAUAACUCAAAAUUGAGUCUUGUGGGUGCCUUGGGAGCUGGAUUAACAUAUAUUAUCGUGAUUAUCAUCCAAAUUAAGGUUAUUUCAUCACUUUAUUGAUGAAUUUCUUAGUUUUGACCCCAAACCCCAAAUUUUUUAGGGCUUGAUUUUAGCCCCAAAUUAGCUUUGUUUUCACCCAUUUCGUGUGGGUUAUGAUUCUUUGAUUAUAUAUGAGCAUUAGGUAGACCUUGAAAAUGCAUUUUUCAUAAGUGGGAUCCACUUAGAGGUUUUUGGUGUUGUUUUUGGACCUGAAGCACAAUAGUGCAAUAUGGACAUUAUUAUUCUUGUAUUGAUGAGUAGAUUAUGAUUUUGAUAGUGUGAUGGCAUGUUGGCAUUGUGAAGUGGAGAUGAACGUUGGUGUAUGAUGUAUGAUUUUGCAGUUUGGCUUUGAGGUAGGCUUCUACCUACUCUACUUUGAAGAGGAUGUGUGUUAUAUAUUCCAUAUGCAUGUGAAUGUUAGGAUUGAUUAUAAAUAGAAUGGCUUAGUUUUGGUUAUUGAGGUUUGGGGAUUAGAUGAGGGUUUUGGACCAGUAAGGUGAAAUGCUUAUUACCUUUUUGAAUCCUAUUGCCUUCUCCCUAGAUUGAACUAGUUUGUUGUAUGGAAAUGUUAUGAUGCUAGGUUUGGGAUGUGGUUCAAGUGUUGGAAUCAUGGUUAGUGUGAUUAACCUUAGUCUGACUUGUGUAGUGAUCUUGAAAUCGUAAUUUGGCUAAAGUUGGCUUAAAUGACUAUUUUUCUCGAUGAAGUUCUUAUCGUAGGAUUGGUUAUGACUUGCUUGACAUCUAGAAGUAUAAAUAGAUACCUUAGCCUAAUUUGGGGUAUAAGUUGCCUAAUUAUAGAAAUUGAAGAGUAAAAGUGGUAUCAUCCGACCCACUUUGACCAAGAUUUGUGUUAGCCCUUGUGGACUUAGUUGCUGAUGAUAGACAUAGUUGAGACUAUUAAGCCCUUAGAAUAAGCUUACUUCGUGGCUUUGAAAAUUUGUGAUUUAUUUUCUCCCGGAUGAUGAUUAAUGGCUUAUGGCUGUGGUAUUCCUUCCUCUUAGAUAUGAUAAUUGGCCUAUAAAGAUGAUAUUUCCUCUAAGACAUGAUAUUGGACCUCUAGAGACGUUAUUUCUUCUUAAAUGCGGUAUUAGGCCUUUAGAGAUGUAUUUCCUCAUAGAUAUGAUAAAUGACCUUUAGAGAUGUGAUUUCCUCUUAGAUAUGACAAUUGUCGUAUUAAGAUGAUAUUCCUCAUAGUCAUGAUAUGUGAUCCAUAUAUGUGAGAUGCCUUAUAGAUGCAAUGUGCCUUAUCGUUAUGAUUUAUGGCCUAGUGAUAUGUUAUAUCACCUAGAUGUGAGAUGCCUUAUAAUAUUCCUCCCAGAUGCGAGAAGUUUACAAAUAUGCUUUGUGGCCCAUAGAUAGUUUAUGCCUCGUAUUUAGGCUAUGACUUAUGAAUAUGAGAUGGCUUAUGAAUAUGAUUACUGCUAUGAGUUUCAGAUAUGUAUGUGGGCCUAAGGCCGUGAUAUUAAUGUUUUGAUUAUCCGAAUACAUUAUUGGGAAAAAGACAGUGUUAAGAUAUGAGUUGGAUAUCCGGGAAGUAUUUAUCCUGGUAAAGGAUACAAUUGUAGUUCAUGAAUAUAUAUAUGUGUGUGUGUGAGAGAGAGGGGGGGUAUGGAUGGAGGAAGAUGCGGUAUGUCAUUUACGACUUCAUUGAUAUGGAUACUGGUGAUGGCAUGUAUAGAUCCGGUACAUUCAUGGUCAUUAUAUCUGUAAAUGAUGUAAUUCUAGUUAAAAUACGAUCCUAUGACUUUUUUUCCUAAAUAAGAGUUAAAGACCCAUUAUUCAUCUUAAAAACAGAUCUCUUUCCAAUAAUAACUGUCUGAAUAAAUGGAUAAUUUAUAUAUAUAUAAGAGGUUAAUAAUGAUGUUCUUAAAAAUUGACCGAUACAAAUUUCGAUCCAUGAUUUGACACUAUUAAUUACUCCGAUCAUGAGAAAUUCUGAUCCCUUUCUACACUUUUAUAAUGAUUUAGUCCCGAAGUUCACUUCGGGCAAUUAACUUAUAAAUUUACACCCUUUUCACCCCAACUUAAGCCCGUGCACCUAUUAUAUAUAUAUAUAUAUAUAUAUACAUUGAUGAUUCUGAUGAUGUGCUUAUUGAUACCCGACAAGGCCGUAGGAUAUUGUGAUGAUGAGAUGGAUACCCGACAAGGUUGGGGGAUACUGUGAUGAUGUAUUGAUACUCGACAAGGCUGGAGGACAUUGUGAUGAUAUAUUGAUACCCAAUAAGGUCGGAGGAUAUUGUGAUGAUGUAUUGAUAUCCGACACGACUGGAGGAUGAUUAUGAUGAUGAUAUUAUGAUAUUGUGGAUUCUAUUGCAUUCAUACUUGCAUGCGCAUCAUCUAUCACCAAUAUGCUCCUAUGUUUAUCAGCCGGUACGGGACUGUUGCAUAAAUAUGGGUGAUGACUAUGACUUGUGUUGUUGUAUGCUGAUUGAGCCUUUCGAGCCUGGGGCGGUGGCAGUAUGCAUAGGCUCGGUUAGAUAUUUGGUUGUCCGAAAUAGUCGGUUACUCACGCUGUUAUUGGUGUUGUUAUUAUCAUUGUUAUGAUCGCUAUUAUGGCUAGUUUAUGACAGAUUGGUCAUUGAUUCAGUAUCGAGACUUGAGGUAUGUUUUUGGCCUCUUCUACCUUACGAUUGUAUUAUUAUGCAUGAUUAUUUCAUGUCUAGCCAUGUGGAUUAGAAACCCGGCGUAUGAUAACAUUAAAUACUGAUAGGAUUAUAAUGAGGUCUUAACAUGAAGACAUGAUGAUUUAGGUUAUGACUUGAGUUGACACUAUAUGUAUAUAUAUGUGUAGCUAUAUGUAGCUAUGGUGCUACCGUAUGUCCCCUCCUUCAUUCGCUCAUAUUGCUCAUAUUGUAUAUUCAUUCCUUGGCCUUGUAUAUUAUUAUAUCCUUCUUUUGCCCUUUAUUCAUAUAUUGACCUGGGAUAUACGGUAUAGUAUUGAGAUUCACGAGUAUAGAUGGAAUAGGACAAUUCAUCCUUGAUACUUUCUUAGCCUCAUUAUGUUAGACUCUUGGACAUGAAUAGGAUAGUAGUUCCUUAGUAUCUCAUUGGCUUGCUGAAUAAUUUCUGGACUCUUGAGUAUAGUUUCCAUUCUGUGUAUAUAUUGUAUAUAUCUGCUUUAUCUUUGGUGCUUAGUUGACAGUUGCCUACUGAGUACCAUUCAUUUGGUACUCAUACUAUACUUCUGCAGCCUGAUCAUAAUACAGGUUAUUGCCGUUGAUGUGUGCGUUGUGCGGAGCAGACCUAGAGUGAGCUCCUGACAUUUAGAGUAUUACUUAUAUCUCUCUUAUGCAUUAAACUAGUCUCUAUAUUGUAUUCAGAGAUAAGUUGUAUCAGUGUAAUUCUUUGAUAUUUCAUUUUUAUACUCUUAUUAUAUUAGAAUCUUUUGUACUGAUACCAUUAGGUUUUGGGAUUUAUUCAUUUAUUUUAACUUUUGUUAUAUUUAUUUUGCAUUCCUUGCUUAAUCUAUUUGGCAGUCCGUUACUAGUCGUUCUGAACUAUGGUUUGGCUUGCCUACAGGUGGGUUAUAGUAGGCGCCAUCAUGACCUAAGAAAUUGGGUUGUGAAAACUUGUUCCCCAUGAAGGAACUUUAUAGAUAUAAAGUUGAAAUCCUAAAAUUUCACCAUAGUUUGGAAAAUAGAGCCUUAGAUACAUCAUGUAGGGAUCUAAAUUUAGAGCCACCUUUAUCCUGUAGAAAACAUAAAUCUUCUCAGGCCACCCAAUGAUUUCCUUUUUUUCCACCUGUCAUGCUCCAGAAGAAUUUGGCAAAGGUAUAGUGAAGAAUUUGGCAAAGAAGAAUAUAUAUACAAACACAUAUAUACGUAUAUAUACAUAUAUACAUAUAUAUACAUAUAUAUAUAUAUAUAUCAAUUUCUUCCUUCCUACUACUAUUGUAUUUGUAUAUCUCUUUCUUCACUAUACCAUCAUUUAUAGACUAGCUACUUAUGGAAACGCAUUUCGUCCCUAAUUACUGGUAGUAUUUGAUAGUUUACCCUUUUUCAUUAGCAUUAUUAGAUUUCGUUGCCUAAAUAGUUUUUUGUUCUUUAGAUCUCAAUUAGUUGAUGCCUACUGAGUACCUCAUGUUUAGUACUUAUACUAGACUUUUGCAGCCUAAUCAAGGUAAAAAUUCUUACCAUUAAUGUGCGUGUCAUGCAG